GAGGAGCUUGCUCUUCCUGGAUGAGUUGCGAACGGGUGAGCAACGCGUAGGUAACCUGCCUUGUAGCGGGGGAUAACUAUUGGAAACGAUAGCUAAUACCGCAUAACAAUGGGUGACACAUGUCAUUUAUUUGAAAGGGGCAAUUGCUCCACUACAAGAUGGACCUGCGUUGUAUUAGCUAGUAGGUGAGGUAACGGCUCACCUAGGCGACGAUACAUAGCCGACCUGAGAGGGUGGUCGGCCACACUGGGACUGAGACACGGCCCAGACUCCUACGGGAGGCAGCAGUAGGGAAUCUUCGGCAAUGGGGGCAACCCUGACCGAGCAACGCCGCGUGAGUGAAGAAGGUUUUCGGAUCGUAAAGCUCUGUUGUAAGUCAAGAACGAGUGUGAGAGUGGAAAGUUCACACUGUGACGGUAGCUUACCAGAAAGGGACGGCUAACCACGUGCCAGCAGCCGCGGUAAUACGUAGGUCCCGAGCGUUGUCCGGAUUUAUUGGGCGUAAAGCGAGCGCAGGCGGUUUGAUAAGUCUGAAGUUAAAGGCUGUGGCUCAACCAUAGUUCGCUUUGGAAACUGUCAAACUUGAGUGCAGAAGGGGAGAGCGGAAUUCCAUGUGUAGCGGUGAAAUGCGUAGAUAUAUGGAGGAACACCGGUGGCGAAAGCGGCUCUCUGGUCUGUAACUGACGCUGAGGCUCGAAAGCGUGGGGAGCGAACAGGAUUAGAUACCCUGGUAGUCCACGCCGUAAACGAUGAGUGCUAGGUGUUGGAUCCUUUCCGGGAUUCAGUGCCGCAGCUAACGCAUUAAGCACUCCGCCUGGGAGUAC
rnacentral:rRNA from 1 species